AGGCAAGUGCAUUGGAUGCGGCUGCGAGACACGGUCAUACUGGAAUUGUCAAGUUAUUAUUGGAGCAUGGUGCUGAUCCGAAUCAGGCAAGUGCAUUGGAUGCGGCUGAGAGAUACGGUCAUACUGGAAUUGUCAAGUUAUUAUUGGAGCAUGGUGCUGAUCCGAAUCGGACCAGCAAAGUAUUGAAGACAUCAGAAACGACAGAGAUGGCUUUGCAGAGUGACACAAUUAAAGG